GGGCGGUUAGCUCAGCGGAAGAGCAUCGGUCUUACACGCCGGGGGUCGCAGGUUCGAACCCUGCACCGCCCA
rnacentral:tRNA from 1 species